AUGAACGCUGGCGGCGUGCCUAAUACAUGCAAGUCGAGCGAACAGACGAGGAGCUUGCUCCUCUGACGUUAGCGGCAGACGGGUGAGUAACACGUGGAUAACCUACCUAUAAGACUGGGAUAACUUCGGGAAACCGGAGCUAAUACCGGAUAAUAUAUUGAACCGCAUGGUUCAAUAGUGAAAGACGGUUUUGCUGUCACUUAUAGAUGGAUCCGCGCCGCAUUAGCUAGUUGGUAAGGUAACGGCUUACCAAGGCAACGAUGCGUAGCCGACCUGAGAGGGUGAUCGGCCACACUGGAACUGAGACACGGUCCAGACUCCUACGGGAGGCAGCAGUAGGGAAUCUUCCGCAAUGGGCGAAAGCCUGACGGAGCAACGCCGCGUGAGUGAUGAAGGUCUUCGGAUCGUAAAACUCUGUUAUUAGGGAAGAACAAAUGUGUAAGUAACUAUGCACGUCUUGACGGUACCUAGUCAGAAAGCCACGGCUAACUACGUG
rnacentral:rRNA from 1 species